CCCUUAGAUGUUCGGGGCCGCACGCGCGCUACACUGAAGGAAUCAGCACGUCUUUCUCCUUGUCCGAAAGGACUGGGUAACCCGCUGAACCUCCUUCGUGCUAGGGAUUGGGGCUCGUAAUUCUUCCCCAUGAACGAGGAAUUCCCAGUAAGCGCGAGUCAUAAGCUCGCGUUGAUUACGUCCCUGCCCUUUGUACACACCGCCCGUCGCUACUACCGAUUGGAUGGUUUAGUGAGAUCCUCGGAUUGGUCCCGGCGCGGCCUCUGGUCGUGCCGGAGUGCCGAAAAGAAUGUCGAACUUGAUCAUCUAGAGGAAGUAAAAGUCGUAACA
rnacentral:rRNA from 1 species